rnacentral:tRNA from 1 species
GAGACAUUAGUAAAAUAUGAGUAUUACAUCACCUUGUCGAGGUGAAAUUGCUGGUUAAACCCCAGCAUGUCUUA